CCUACGGGUGGCAGCAGUGGGGAAUAUUGGGCAAUGGGCGCAAGCCUGACCCAGCAACGCCGCGUGAAGGAAGAAGGCUUUCGGGUUGUAAACUUCUUUUGACAGGGAAGAGUAGAAGACGGUACCUGUCGAAUAAGCCACGGCUAACUACGUGCCAGCAGCCGCGGUAAUACGUAGGUGGCAAGCGUUGUCCGGAUUUACUGGGUGUAAAGGGCGUGUAGCCGGGACUGCAAGUUGGGUGUCAAAUCUACCGGCUCAACCGGUAGCCGCACUCAAAACUGCAGUUCUUGAGUGAAGUAGAGGCAGGCGGAAUUCCUAGUGUAGCGGUGAAAUGCGUAGAUAUUAGGAGGAACACCAGUGGCGAAGGCGGCCUGCUGGGCUUUUACUGACGCUGAGGCUCGAAAGUGUGGGGAGCAAACAGGAUUAGAUACCCGGGUAGUC
rnacentral:rRNA from 1 species